CCUGAAGUGGGGGAUAGCUCUCCGAAAGGAGGAUUAAUACCGCAUGUGAUCUUCGGAUCAAAGGUGGCUUCGGCUGCCGCUUCAGGAUGGGCUCGCGGCCUAUCAGCUUGUUGGUGAGGUAACGGCUCACCAAGGCUAUGACGGGUAGCUGGUCUGAGAGGACGAUCAGCCUCACUGGAACUGAGACACGGUCCAGACACCUACGGGUGGCAGCAGUCGAGAAUCAUUCACAAUGGGCGAAAGCCUGAUGGUGCAACGCCGCGUGGAGGAUGACGGCCUUCGGGUUGUAAACUCCUGUCAUCUGGGAGUAAUCCUUGUUCGUUAAUAGCGUGCAAGGUUGAUAGUACCAGAAGAGGAAGGGA
rnacentral:rRNA from 1 species